rnacentral:rRNA from 1 species
CAAACGGGUGAGGAAUGCAUGGGUAACCUGUCCUUGAGAAGGGAAUAACCCACCGAAAGGUGAGCUAAUACCCUAUACGUUUCACUUUUUUUGGAAAGUGAAAGAAAGCUAGGCCGAGGGCCUGGCGCUCGUGGAGGGGCUCAUGUCCUAUCAGCUUGUUGGUGGGGUAACGGCCUACCAAGGCAACGACGGGUAGCUGGUCUGAGAGGAUGAUUAGCCACACCGGCACUGAGAUACGGGCCAG